GACGUAGGGGGCGAGCGUUGUCCGGAUUUAUUGGGCGUAAAGCGUGCGUAGGCGGCUGCGCAAGUCGGGUGUGAAACCCCGGGGCUCAACCCCGGAACUGCAUCCGAUACUUCCGAGCUGGAGGUAGGUAGGGGAGAUCGGAAUUCCUGGUGUAGCGGUGAAAUGCGCAGAUAUCAGGAGGAACACCGGUGGCGAAGGCGGAUCUCUGGGCCUUACCUGACGCUGAGGCGCGAAAGCUAGGGGAGCGAACAGG
rnacentral:rRNA from 1 species